rnacentral:rRNA from 1 species
CCUACGGGAGGCAGCAGUGGGGGAUAUUGCACAAUGGGGGGAACUCUGAUGCAGCGACGCCGCGUGGGUGAAGAAGCGCCUCGGCGCGUAAAGCCCUUUUAGCCGGGAAGAAAAUGACGGUACCUGUAGCAGAAGCCCCGGCUAACUACGUGCCAGCAGCCGCGGGAAUACGUAGGGGGCCAGCGUUAUCCGGAUUUACUGGGUGUAAAGGGGGCGUAGACGGGGAUGAAAGCCAGGAGUGAAAGCCCGGGGCCCAACCCCGGGACUGCUGUUGGAACUGCGUGGCUGGAGUGCAGGAGGGGCAGGCGGAAUGCGUGGUGUAGCGGUGAAAUGCGUAGAUAUCAGGAGGAACACCGAUGGCGAAGGCGGCCUGCUGGACUGCAACUGACGUUGAGGCCCGAAAGCGUGGGGAGCAAACAGGAUUAGAUACCCCUGUAGUC